AGUGAACGCUGGCGGUAGGCCUAACACAUGCAAGUCGAACGGCAGCACAGUAAGAGCUUGCUCUUACGGGUGGCGAGUGGCGGACGGGUGAGGAAUACAUCGGAAUCUACUUUUUCGUGGGGGAUAACGUAGGGAAACUUACGCUAAUACCGCAUACGACCUACGGGUGAAAGCAGGGGAUCUUCGGACCUUGCGCGAUUGAAUGAGCCGAUGUCGGAUUAGCUAGUUGGCGGGGUAAAGGCCCACCAAGGCGACGAUCCGUAGCUGGUCGGAGAGGAUGAUCAGCCAAACUGGAACUGAGACACGGUCCAGACUCCUACGGGAGGCAGCAGUGGGGAAUAUUGGACAAUGGGCGCAAGCCUGAUCCAGCCAUACCGCGUGGGUGAAGAAGGCCUUCGGGUUGUAAAGCCCUUUUGUUGGGAAAGAAAAGCAGCAGGUUAAUACCCCGCUGUUCUGACGGUACCCAAAGAAUAAGCACCGGCUAACUUCGUG
rnacentral:rRNA from 1 species